UAGGGAAUCUUCGGCAAUGGACGAAAGUCUGACCGAGCAACGCCGCGUGAGUGAAGAAGGUUUUCGGAUCGUAAAACUCUGUUGUUAGAGAAGAACAAGGACGUUAGUAACUGAACGUCCCCUGACGGUAUCUAACCAGAAAGCCACGGCUAACUACGUGCCAGCAGCCGCGGUAAUACGUAGGUGGCAAGCGUUGUCCGGAUUUAUUGGGCGUAAAGCGUGCGCAGGCGGUUUCUUAAGUCUGAUGUGAAAGCCCCCGGCUCAACCGGGGAGGGUCAUUGGAAACUGGGAGACUUGAGUGCAGAAGAGGAGAGUGGAAUUCCAUGUGUAGCGGUGAAAUGCGUAGAUAUAUGGAGGAACACCAGUGGCGAAGGCGGCUCUCUGGUCUGUAACUGACGCUGAGGCUCGAAAGCGUGGGGAGCAAACAGG
rnacentral:rRNA from 1 species